rnacentral:rRNA from 1 species
UAGUCCACGCCGUAAACGAUGUGUGCUAGUUGUUGGAGGCUUAAGUCUUCAGUGACGCAGAGAAAUCAUUAAGCACACCGCCAGGGGAGUACGGCCGCAAGGUUAAAACUCAAAGGAAUUGACGGGGACCCGCACAAGCGGUGGAGCAUGUUGUUUAAUUCGAAGCAACGCGAAGAACCUUACCUACCCUUGACAUACUGGUCGGGAAUUUCAGAGAUGAUUUUCUUCACUUCGGGUGGACCAGAUACAGGUGUUGCAUGGCUGUCGUCAGCUCGUGUCGUGAGAUGUUGGGUUAAGUCCCGCAACGAGCGCAACCCUUAUCGUCUGUUGCCAUCAGGUUAUGCUGGGCACUCUGGCGAGACUGCCGGUGAUAAGCCGGAGGAAGGCGGGGACGACGUCAAGUCAUCAUGGCCCUUACGGGUAGGGCUACAAACGUGCUACAAUGGCUGUGACAGUGGGCAGCGAGGUCGCGAGGCCAAGCUAAUCUCUAAAAACNGUACUCGU